rnacentral:rRNA from 1 species
GACGAACGCUGGCGGCGUGCUUAACACAUGCAAGUCGAGCGGUAAGGCCCUUUCGGGGGUACACGAGCGGCGAACGGGUGAGUAACACGUGGGUGACCUGCCCUCAGCUCUGGGAUAAGCCUGGGAAACCGGGUCUAAUACUGGAUAUGACUCCAUGACGCAUGUUGUGGGGUGGAAAGCCUUGUGCGGCUGAGGAUGGGCCCGCGGCCUAUCAGCUUGUUGGUGGGGUGANGGCCUACCAAGGCGACGACGGGUAGCCGGCCUGAGAGGGCGACCGGCCACACUGGGGCUGAGACACGGCCCAGACUCCUACGGGAGGCAGCAGUGGGGAAUCUUGCGCAAUGGGCGAAAGCCUGACNCAGCGACGCCGCGUGAGGGAUGACGG